GCGGCGUGCUUCAUACAUGCAAGUCGAACGAGAAGCAGGAGCUUGCUCCUGUGGAAAGUGGCGGACGGGUGAGUAACACGUAGGAAAUCUGCCUUUGGGUGGGGGACAACAGUUGGAAACGACUGCUAAUACCCCAUAUGAGCUUGGUUGCAAUACCAAUCUUGAAAACUCCGGUGCCUAAAGAUGAGCCUGCGUCUGAUUAGCUUGUUGGCGGGGUAAUGGCCCACCAAGGCGACGAUCAGUAGCUGGUUUGAGAGGAUGGUCAGCCACCAUGGGACUGAGACACGGCCCAUACUCCUACGGGAGGCAGCAGUAGGGAAUUUUGAGCAAGGGGGGAAACCCUGACGCAGCAACGCCGCGUGAAUGACGAAGCCCUUCGGGGUGUAAAGUUCUGUCAGUAGGGAAGAAUUUUGACUGUACCUACAAAGGAAGCACCGGCUAACUCCGUGCCAGCCGCCGCCGUAA
rnacentral:rRNA from 1 species